rnacentral:tRNA from 1 species
GCCGAUGUGGCGGAAUAGGCAGACGCAAGGGACUUAAAAUCCCUCGACGUAACACUCGUACCGGUUCGAGCCCGGUCAUCGGCA